GACACGGUCCACACUCCUACGGGAGGCAGCAGUGGGGAAUAUUGCACAAUGGGCGCAAGCCUGAUGCAGCCAUGCCGCGUGUGUGAAGAAGGCCUUAGGGUUGUAAAGCACUUUCAGCGAGGAGGAAGGGUUCAGUGUUAAUAGCACUGUGCAUUGACGUUACUCGCAGAAGAAGCACCGGCUAACUCCGUGCCAGCAGCCGCGGUAAUACGGAGGGUGCAAGCGUUAAUCGGAAUUACUGGGCGUAAAGCGCACGCAGGCGGUUUGUUAAGUCAGAUGUGAAAUCCCCGCGCUUAACGUGGGAACUGCAUUUGAAACUGGCAAGCUAGAGUCUUGUAGAGGGGGGUAGAAUUCCAGGUGUAGCGGUGAAAUGCGUAGAGAUCUGGAGGAAUA
rnacentral:rRNA from 1 species